rnacentral:rRNA from 1 species
CAGUGGGGAAUUUUGCGCAAUGGGGGCAACCCUGACGCAGCGACGCCGCGUGAGCGAAGAAGGCCUUCGGGUUGUAAAGCUCUGUUGAGGGGGAAGAUAGUGACGGUACCCCUUAAGCAAGCCCCGGCUAACUACGUGCCAGCAGCCGCGGUAAGACGUAGGGGGCGAGCGUUGUCCGGAAUUACUGGGCGUAAAGGGCGUGUAGGCGGCCUGUAAAGUCAGCUGUGAAAUUCCCCGGCUCAACUGGGGGCCUGCAGUUGAAACUUAUAGACUUGAGUGCAGGAGAGGAAGGUGGAAUUCCCAGUGUAGCGGUGAAAUGCGUAGAUAUCGGGAGGAACACCGGUGGCGAAGGCGGCCUUCUGGCCUGUAACUGACGGUGAGGCGCGAAAGCUAGGGGAGCAAACAGGAUUAGAUACCCUGGUAGUCCUACCCGUAAACGCUGGGUACUAGGUGUAGGGGGUUUAGACGCCUUCUGUGCCGUAGUUAACGCAUUAAGU